rnacentral:rRNA from 1 species
UACGAGGGGGGCGAGCGUUGUUCGGAAUUAUUGGGCGUAAAGGGUGCGUAGGCGGUUUGGUAAGUCUUGUGUGAAAUCUCCAGGCUCAACUUGGAGUCUGCACGAGAAACUGCCGGGCUUGAGUGUGGGAGAGGUGAGUGGAAUUCCUGGUGUAGCGGUGAAAUGCGUAGAUAUCAGGAGGAACACCUGUGGCGAAAGCGGCUCACUGGACCACAACUGACGCUGAUGCACGAAAGCGUAGGGGAGCAAACAGG